rnacentral:lncRNA from 1 species
CAGGGGCAAAGGCCUGUGAGCCAUCAGCUGAGAACUCCUCAUCAGAUUUGUCCAGGGGUCCUUUCAAGAAAAGAACAGUCUCUCAGGGAAUUUCCUCCCAAUUCCGCUGGCUCCAUCCAAACACCAUCAAGAAAGGAGCAAAAUAAAGAUAAAUGAGGCCAGAAUAUUUUAAAUAGUGGGGAGGACAAGAGGACGAAGAAAUGCACUCCAGAAUUGUGGAUUUGGAAGACUGGGGGAGAAAGAGCAGAGUCAAGAACCUCGACAAAAUCCGAUAAGGACAGACUGAGGAAGAAUCAAGACGGAGAGCCUCCUAAUUCCAUCAGUCCAAGGCAGAGUGUCAGUCACCUCCCUGUGGAUAAGAACCUGAUAUGCAGCACAUGGAGAUGAUGGAGGCCCGCUGCCGUCAGUCCUGGGAAAUGUGCUCAGCUACUGGUCCAGUUCGCUUCUCAGCCCCGUUCAUGGCUUGCUCCCAUCAUUGAUUGUCCUGUAAACUGUGGUCAGUUCUCUGCCCCGCCCUGAGAAUGGCCCUCUCUGAGAAUCUUCUUUAUUUUUAACUAAGUUUUGCAACUAUGGUGCAUUUUUUUGGUCAUUCAGAGGGAAGAAAAUUUUAAUGCCUGCCACAUGCUAUGAACUGUAGCAAUUUUACAUCACAAGGUAACUUCCUAUCCUACUAUAAAUAGUGUUGGGCUCUCAUGACUAGAUACA